rnacentral:tRNA from 1 species
GGAGGGGUGGCCGAGUGGUCGAAGGCGCACGCCUGGAGUGCGUGUAUACGGUGAACCCGUAUCGUGGGUUCGAAUCCCACCCCCUCCGCCA